rnacentral:rRNA from 1 species
GAUGGACGCUGGCGGCGUGCCUAAUACAUGCAAGUCGAGCGAAUGGAUUAAGAGCUUGCUCUUAUGAAGUUAGCGGCGGACGGGUGAGUAACACGUGGGUAACCUGCCCAUAAGACUGGGAUAACUCCGGGAAACCGGGGCUAAUACCGGAUAACAUUUUGAACCGCAUGGUUCGAAAUUGAAAGGCGGCUUCGGCUGUCACUUAUGGAUGGACCCGCGUCGCAUUAGCUAGUUGGUGAGGUAACGGCUCACCAAGGCAACGAUGCGUAGCCGACCUGAGAGGGUGAUCGGCCACACUGGGACUGAGACACGGCCCAGACUCCUCCGGGAGGCAGCAGUAGGGAAUCUUCCGCAAUGGACGAAAGUCUGACGUAGCAACGCCGCGUGAGUGAUGAAGGCUUUCGGGUCGUAAAACUCUGUUGUUAGGGAAGAACAAGUGCUAGUUGAAUAAGCUGGCACCUUGACGGUACCUAACCAGAAAGCCACGGCUAACUACGUGCCAGCCGCCGCAGUAA